AAAAAUUAUAUAAAUACUGUUCGGCUUCUCGCACAAACCGAUCGUUUCGUUUCUUAGGAUAUCAAUGUGUCGUCACGAGCGGCAGGGUUUAAUUUGGAUUUGUCUGUGCAUGUUUUUACUGUCUGAGAUUUUGUUACUAUUCACAUGCAUACAGACUGAAACGGUUGGAGUUUCUACAUUUGUGUUGUACUGAAGAAACAAAAUCACAUACAUCUUGGAUGGCCUCGGGGUAAGCUGAUAAAUACAAAAAAUUCAUUUUAAGAUGAAUCCCGUACGUUGGCGGCUGUUUUAAACUGGGUGCUCGGCUCCGACCCUUUUGCCAGUAUGAAGCCGAUUUCAACGGUAACUGCAGAAAGCGUCAGCACGCUCAGCUCAUCACUGGAGUAACGUCUGUACAACGGGUGAGAUAAAACUCAACGCCUGACUGAAUCAUCCAUUCCCUUUUCGAUCCUACGCCAUACGUUAAACUUGAGGUAAUCUUGCUUUUGCUGUUCUAAAAUAAACACUGCUCUUAGGUAAGAAUGGCUGAUCAAAUGCAUUAUUUUAAAUCUAAUCUGAGACACAAAGCAGUUAAAUCGUUGUCUAAUUUGCUGCAAGGUAUUAAGAACGACAGUAAGCUUGUUGACGAUGAUCUGACUGAUGACUGAUAUGUGUGAUGAGAUUAAAACUAUGGCUGUGCAAAAAAAUCGAUACAGCUAACUACCAUGAUAGUUAGCUGUAUCGAUAGUGUAUCGAUAUUUCGAUCUCUACUGUCGAUAUUUUAAAAAACAUCAAAUCCCUCUGUGUGCGUCAAACGACCUCCUCGCCGCUGCUAUAGUUGUCACUGUCCAGUUGUCUGCCAUAUACGGCCAUUCGGCCAAUGUCUCAGAAGUUAGAGGGAGUGAGAAAAUGGCAGAAAAUUUAAAAACACCUGCAUCUUUCAAAGAGCUGCAGGUGUUCAGCUCUAUUUUUUACAUUUUUGAUUGUAUUGUGAUACGUAUCUUAUCAUGACCCAUGUAUCGUGACACGUAUCGUAUCGGGAGGCCCUUGCCAAUACCCAGCCCUAAUUAAAACAACUUUUCUUUUAGCACACCACCCAUACAUGGCACACAAAACAGGUCUUGUGAGGGGGCUGUGCCCACAGGUAGAAAUUCUGUAGGUCCACGGGCUUCUCCCCUUUCAGCGAACAUCACAGCGCUUAGUCCACCAUCGUGGUCUCCAAUCUCCAUUACCAACAGCCUGAGUGCUACACCUACAGACACCCCAACCCAUGCAGCAGCUGGCAGAAGUCAGACAUCAGGCCAAACUGGAUUUCAACACACCCCACCCUUACAUGGCACACAAGUAUAUGACACACAACACAGGUCUUCUCAGGAGGCUGUGCCUACAGCAAUAGGCUUUAUGCCCAGCUGCACUACUUCCUGAACUUCAGCCAGCUGCUUGUUUCCUGUCUGCCAUUAUUGGACAAACUGAUUAAUCCAGGUGUGCCUGAGCUUAGUAGUCACAACAACAAUAAUCAGACACACCUGGAUUUAUCAGUUUGUCCAGUAAUGGCAGACAGGAAACAAGGAGCUUAAAGCCUAUUGCUAAGGAGAUCCUCAUCCAGCUCGAUUUUAUUAGAGAGCAGCAGUUGCAGACUUCACCCCAGACCCAACACAUUUUGGGCUCCCACUUUCAACUAUUGAGGAGCUACAAUGUUUGUAGGAGACAUUAAAUAAUCCAGAUGAGAAGAAGAAUUUGGUGAGACUGUGUUUCCUGCAAUGGUCGGAGACAAGACUCUUAAAGACACCGUGGGGUGGGUCCUGAAAAAAACAAUGAACUCUUCGUGGUGAGACUCAUCAAUUGAAGUGGGGUCAACUGAACGCCUGCAUUCAAAGGGCUCACUUUGAAAAGUGUGGUUUUGGAUGCAGUCCGCCGGAAUGCCCUGACCAAAGAUUACACAGAAAAGGAGAUAGAGCUCCUCAUCACCAGGUGGUCGGUGCUAGCAUAUGACAGGGAUGGUGGCCGAAUCCAGACAAUAGACAGACAAUGAAUUAAAAUGUUUUAAAUUUAAAAAUGUUGAUUUUUGGAAAAUUCGUAUUUGAACUGAUUGUGUGUGUGUGUGUGUGCACCUGGUAAUUAUCACGUUGUGUCCCCACAAAGAUAGGAAUACCAGUAUUUUUGUGACCUUGUGUCCCCAUGAGGAAACAAGCUUAUAAAUCAAACAAAAUGAUGUUUCUUGUAAAUGUGAAGUAGGAGAAGGGUUUCUGUGAUGGUUGGGUUUAGGGAAUGGGGUAGGUAAGGGGAAUAAAAUAUACAGUUUGUAUGGUAUAAAAUGCAUUACGUCUAUGGAAUGUCCCCACAAAACAUGGAAACCUGUUUGUGUGUACGAGAGAGAGAGAAUGUGUGUUCAAGUGAAUAAAAAAUGCAUUAAACGUGAAA